rnacentral:rRNA from 1 species
AGUGAACGCUGGCGGUAGGCCUAACACAUGCAAGUCGAACGGCAGCACAGUAAGAGCUUGCUCUUACGGGUGGCGAGUGGCGGACGGGUGAGGAAUACAUCGGAAUCUACUUUUUCGUGGGGGAUAACGUAGGGAAACUUACGCUAAUACCGCAUACGACCUACGGGUGAAAGCAGGGGAUCUUCGGACCUUGCGCGAUUGAAUGAGCCGAUGUCGGAUUAGCUAGUUGGCGGGGUAAAGGCCCACCAAGGCGACGAUCCGUAACUGGUAUGAGAGGAUGAUCAGCCACACUGGAACUGAGACACGGUCCAGACUCCUACGGGGAGCAGCAGUGGGGAAUAUUGGACAAUGGGCGCAAGCCUGAUCCAGCCAUACCGCGUGGGUGAAGAAGGCCUUCGGGUUGUAAAGCCCUUUUGUUGGGAAAGAAAAGCAGCAGGUUAAUACCCCGCUGUUCUGACGGUACCCAAAGAAUAAGCACCGGCUAACUUCGUG